rnacentral:rRNA from 1 species
UACGUAGGGGGCGAGCGUUGUCCGGAAUCAUUGGGCGUAAAGCGCGUGUAGGCGGCCCGGUAAGUCCGCUGUGAAAGUCCAGGGCUCAACCCUGGGAUGCCGGUGGAUACUGUCGGGCUCGAGUCCGGAAGAGGCGAGUGGAAUUCCUGGUGUAGCGGUGAAAUGCGUAGAUAUCAGGAGGAACACCGGUGGCGAAGGCGCACAUCUGGCCCGAUACUGACGCUGAGGCCGCGAAAGCUAGGGGAGCAAACGGG